GGGCAGUAAGCAGCUGGAGGAGGAAGGCCUUCUUUCUAACAGCUGCAGUAUGAUCUCCAAGCAAAGCUGAAAAUAAUCAUUUUCCUUUGGAAACAGAGAACUGUUAUAUGUGGAAGACUGACUUAUAUUAAAGGUGCCUGUCAACCUUGCAGGAGAACACUAAGAAGAAAUUGAAAGGAAAUAAUUGUUUAAUGCUUUCAAGAAAGAAGAAAAAUGUUUUGUAUAAUAAUCUAUUCAAUGAGAAACACAGCAUAUGAAACGUAAUUUUCCAGGUAGGUAAUCAGGACUGUUUUCAGAAAUUAGCAAUUGACACUAAAUAUUUUUAACUAUU
rnacentral:lncRNA from 1 species